rnacentral:tRNA from 1 species
UGGGGCGUCGACAAGCGGUAAGUCACAGGGUUUUGGUCCCUGCAUUACGGGGGUUCGAAUCCUCCCGCCCCAGCCA